CAGUGCAAUAGUAUUGUCAUAGC
rnacentral:miRNA from 7 species